rnacentral:lncRNA from 1 species
GCAGCUCGCCCAGAAGAAGAUAGACCCGCCACUAUAGAUUUGUCAAUCCCUGGGCUUGGCCAAAGGCAUACCCGGCAUACUAAGACUAAGAUGAAUCAUCUCAGUUCCUCAACAGGCCUAGUCCCUAAAUCCCUAAACUAAAUAGGACGCUUAUAAUCGCGAUCAUGCCGCAUCAGCUCUUUCAGUCACUACUACCUGUGUCGCACCUACAGUGGCAGAGAGUUUGAUAAGACUCUCGGAUAAGAAAGAUCAAUCCUGAAUA